UCGGGUAUUUGUUUUGUUUUAGAGCACGACCUUGCCAAGGUCGGGGUCGCGAGUUCGAGUCUCGUUUCCCGCUCCA
rnacentral:tRNA from 1 species